AGGUCAUUAUGAUUCACUUUUGAGUUGUUGCUGGCCUCUAGGGGCAUUUGU
rnacentral:rRNA from 1 species